GCCUGGGAGCGAGCCCUGCGUGUCCGCGCGGGGCGCCCGAGCCGCGGGGCGCACGGCGGCGCCCGGAGGGGAGCGCCCCGGGGCGGCCGUAGCUCCGGGCACGAUGCAGAGAGCCGGAGGCGGGGGUGCCCCCGGGGGCAGCGGCGGGGGCAGCGGCGGGGGCCCGGGCACUGCCUUCUCCAUUGACUCCCUGAUCGGGCCACCGCCGCCUCGCUCCGGCCACUUGCUCUACACCGGCUAUCCCAUGUUCAUGCCCUACCGGCCGCUGGUGCUGCCGCAGGCGCUGGCCCCUGCGCCGCUGCCUGCCGGCCUCCCGCCUCUCGCCCCACUAGCCUCCUUUGCCGGCCGCCUUACCAACACGUUCUGCGCGGGACUGGGCCAGGCCGUGCCCUCGAUGGUGGCGCUGACCACCGCGCUGCCCAGCUUCGCGGAGCCGCCCGACGCCUUCUACGGGCCCCAGGAGCUCGCCGCCGCCGCUGCCGCCGCCGCCACUGCUGCCCGAAACAACCCCGAGCCGGGUGGCCGACGCCCCGAGGGUGGGCUGGAAGCCGAGGAGCUGAUGCCCGCCCGGGAGAAAGUGGCAGAGCCCCCACCGCCCCCGCCUCCGCACUUCUCAGAGACUUUCCCAAGUCUGCCGGCAGAGGGGAAGGUGUACAGCUCAGAUGAGGAGAAGCUGGAGGCACCAGCAGGAGACCCGGCAGGCAGCGAACAGGAGGAAGAGGGCUCAGGCGGUGACAGCGAGGACGACGGUUUCCUGGACAGUUCUGCAGGGGGCCCAGGGGCUCUCCUGGGACCUAAACCGAAGCUAAAGGGAAGCCUGGGGACUGGAGCUGAGGAGGGGGCACCAGUGGCAGCUGGAGUCACAGCUCCUGGGGGCAAAAGCCGACGGCGCCGCACGGCAUUUACCAGUGAGCAGCUUUUGGAAUUGGAGAAGGAGUUCCACUGCAAGAAAUACCUGAGCUUGACAGAGCGUUCCCAGAUCGCCCACGCCCUCAAGCUCAGUGAGGUGCAGGUCAAGAUCUGGUUUCAGAAUCGGCGGGCCAAGUGGAAGCGCAUCAAAGCUGGCAACGUGAGCAGCCGUUCCGGGGAGCCCGUGAGAAACCCCAAGAUUGUUGUCCCCAUACCUGUGCAUGUCAACAGGUUUGCUGUACGGAGCCAGCACCAACAAAUGGAACAGGGCGCCCGGCCCUGAAGGGGCUCCCAAGGAUCCUGGAAGGCAGCCGAUCUGUCCCCGAGCCUGCUCUGAGACUGGGUUAGGGUUCUGCGGACCAGCGGGGCUGCUGCUACGAUGCUGCCCUGGGAGAGGGCUCCGUCGGCAACUAACUUAGCGCUAGAAGGGCUACUAUCCUGUACCAACUGUGGAGCGGGGCUGCACAGACACGCCUGCACAGACAUUGGGGAAAGAGGAUUAUUACAGAAACCAGCUGAAGUUGGGAUCAUGGUAAGCGGGGCUUCUUGGGAAGAAACCUGACCUGCACUGAUCUGGGAGGACAGCUAGGGGAGAGAACAGAGCCGCCGAGAAGAAAAAUGGGCAGAGCGAGGAGUGAGGCUAGGACACUCAGAAGAUUAAGGUCAGGGAGGGAAAUACAAGCUCAAAUACCUGGCCGGCCCCCUCACCUUCCUUAGAAAACUGCUGCUACUCCUGAUUCCUAGCAUGGCAGACCAACCAGUAUUUACUCCAACAUCUGCUGAGUGCCUCGUAUGAUGAAGACAGGCUUUCCUUGGCAGUUCCUUUCUCCUAGCUGGUUUUGGCAACCAAACAGCAAGCCGGGGCUGUGACCGGUUAUUCGCAACAGGGUCGCGGUUCCCCAGCUCGGAUGCAGGGGUCCAGGCUGCUGUUUGGCUAAAAUCCAGCAAGGCUUGAAAAUUAGGUUAAAAAAAGUAGUCCGGACCAGCCCCAUUCCUG